GAAAUGCGAUAAGUAAUGUGAAUUGCAGAAUUCAGUGAAUCAUCGAAUCUUUGAACGCACAUUGCGCCCGCCAGUAUUCUGGCGGGCAUGCCUGUUCGAGCGUCAUUUCAACCAUCAAGCCCCAGGCUUGUGUUGGGGACCUGCGGCUGCCGCAGGCCCUGAAAACCAGUGGCGGGCUCGCUGUCACACCGGGCGUAGUAGAUUUUAUCUCGCUCAGGGCGUGCUGCGGGUUCCGGCCGUUAAAAAGCCUUUUUUACCCAAGGUUGACCUCGGAUCAGGUAGGAAGACCCGCUGAACUUAA
rnacentral:misc_RNA from 1 species